rnacentral:misc_RNA from 1 species
UGGGAGAUAAAGAGUUGCAACAAAAUCAAUACUAAGAAAUUCAACCUCCAAAAGAUGUUUGAAGCCGAGUACUUAAAAGCCAGCUCUAUUUUCAGAGAAGCAACGUGACAAUCUUAUACCUUAUAAUCUUCACAAAGUUUUUAUCGCGCUUCUCUCCAUUUGGGGUCAGAAUAUGAUUGAUUCAUUUUCUCUCUCUGGUCCAUGAGAAUAUCAGACCCUAAAAUAAUCUUGGUGCUUGGAGAUGUUCCAUAAGCCUGUUUCUGCUUUGAGGAGAAUUUCAAUCUCAGAAGCAAUGAAUUUGUCAUCACGCCAAUAGAGCUUAAACCCAUGAGAGCUCCAGCGAUUGAUGGCGUCAGCAUGGUCCCAGUUACAGGAAGCAACACGCCAGCUGCUAUUGGAAUUCCAAUAAUGUUGUACGCAAAAGCCCACCAGAGAUUUUGCUUCACAGUCUUCAUGGUUAGCCUGCUUAGUUCCAAUGCAUCAAGCAACUGUGACAACCUAUUGCCAGUCAGUACAAUGGAAGACACCUCACCAGCAGCUCCAACACCUCCACCC